rnacentral:rRNA from 1 species
CUACGGGGGGCUGCAGUGGGGAAUAUUGCACAAUGGACGAAAGUCUGAUGCAGCAACGCCGCGUGGAGGAUGACACAUUUCGGUGCGUAAACUCCUUUUAUAUAGGAAGAUAAUGACGGUACUAUAUGAAUAAGCGCCGGCUAACUCCGUGCCAGCAGCCGCGGUAAUACGGGAGGGCGCAAGCGUUACUCGGAAUCACUGGGCGUAAAGAGCGUGUAGGCGGAUAGAUAAGUCAGGAGUGAAAUCCUAUGGCUCAACCAUAGAACUGCUCUUGAAACUGUCUAUCUAGAAUAUGGGAGAGGUAGAUGGAAUUUCUGGUGUAGGGGUAAAAUCCGUAGAGAUCAGAAGGAAUACCGAUUGCGAAGGCGAUCUACUGGAACAUUAUUGACGCUGAGACGCGAAAGCGUGGGGAGCAAACAGGAUUAGAUACCCUCGUAGUC